rnacentral:misc_RNA from 1 species
GAUGAAGAACGUAGCGAAAUGCGAUAAGUAAUGUGAAUUGCAGAAUUCAGUGAAUCAUCGAAUAUUUGAACGCACAUUGCGCCCGCCAGUAUUCUGGCGGGCAUGCCUGUUCGAGCGUCAUUUCAACCAUCAAGCCCCCCGGCUUGUGUUGGGGACCUGCGGCUGCCGCAGGCCCUGAAAAGCAGUGGCGGGCUCGCUGUCACACCGAGCGUAGUAGAUCUCAUCUCGCUCAGGGCGUGCUGCGGGUUCCGGCCGUUAAACCACCUUCAUAACCCAAGGUUGACCUCGGAUCAGGUAGGAAGACCCGCUGAACUUAAGCAUAUCAAUAAGCGGAGGA